rnacentral:lncRNA from 1 species
CUCCGUGAUUUGUGAUGUCAACCAUUCAGGGGCUAGAUAACCAGGUGUGCCUCUCAUUCUUGUAACCACUUGACUCAUAUCCCUAUCAAUGAGCUUGCAUAGACCAAAAUCAGAGAGUUUAGCAUUGAAGUCGUCAUCUAAGAGGAUGUUUUGUGGUUUGACAUCCAAAUGAGCAAUUCUCUUCAUGCACUCCUCAUGAAGAUAAGAAAGACCCUUAGCUAUGUCAGCGAUAAUCUUGCAUCGCACCCUCCAUUCUAACGGAGGAGCAGUAUUUUCAUGUCGACCAUAGAUCCACCUGUCCAAGGAUCCUUUUGGCAUAGACUCAUAAACCAAGAGCCUAUGGGAUUUCUCUGCACAGAAGCCAAACAGCCUCACCAGAUUGAUAUGAUGAAUGCUACCGAUUGUUUGAACCUCCGCCAAGAAUUCUCUCUUUCCCUGACCAGCUCGAUCCAAACGUUUUACCGCAAUCCUUUCCUCGCAUAGCUGCCCUUCGAAAACAGACCCAAAUCCUCCUUCCCCGAGCUUGUCCUUGAAUUGCUCUGUUGCUGCUUCUAACUGUUGAAACGUAAACCUCAUUGGUGUUCCUUGUAGCUGAUCAAACUCUGCCUCCUCAUCUGUCAUCUCAUGGUGUCGUCGUGUUCUUCUUCGACGUAUGAUGAAAAAGAUGAAUGUGACGAUUAAAACUAUGGCACCUGCAAUUGCAACUGAAACAAAAGUGCCUAUUGAGGGUCCUUUGCGUAGUGGCCUAAGAUCAGCUGAGUUAGGAGGACUUGGAGGUGAAGAUAGUGGCCUAAGAUCAGCUGAGUUAGGAGGACUUGGAGGUGAAGACGUUAGAUUGACCGGUGGGCAGAAGAUGACCUGAUAGUCGGUAUCAAAUGGGCAGCUGAAUGAAGUAUCUGUGGAAGCAUCACUGGAGUAGCUUAUUGCCUCCGGGCACAUCCGCACAAAGAAGGCCGAGUAUUUGUUGGGUUCACAUUGGCUCUCAUAGCAGCAGUACAUACCAUUAUUCUGCUCCUGGAACACUGUACAUGCGCUGUUGCAGCCUCCCGGUGCCUUGAGCUCGCUCGGACACUGUGACGUGAUGUUGGCCCCACAGUGGGACCCCUUUCUGCACCCUGAUCCCCCUUGCCCCUUGACCGGCAUUGGCAAGAACUCCAUGGGUACGUUGAAGCCCUGAUCGAGGGAGAUGCCAAAGAAACUGUUGUUGUUAUACUGGUUUAGCGAGAAUUCAGCAGACGUGUAGGGUGACUGACCAUCUAUCUUGCAGGCGAGCAAGCCUUCGCAGUCGCCUGUCUGGCACGACCCCCUGCCUUUGCCGUCAAACGAGCAGCCUGUGCGCGCCCACACACUUCCUCCACGGGUGUCAGAAGGCACCUGGAGGGUCCAUGUCUUCCCUGAGUCCAGCCGCAUGCCGCCGCCCACCGGCAGAGCGGCCGGCCAUACGGUGUAGGGGCAUCGGUUGGUGAUGUUCAGUAUGGUUUGGGUGGUGACGAAUGGCAGGAGGAGGAGGCGGAGCAGGAGGAGGAGGGGAGGUGGGUGGUGGAGGCUCAGGGAGGAGGUACCCAUAACUGCCAACUGUGUCGUCUGGUAAUACGACCCCUCUUGGAUGAGAUGAUAAAGGAGGAAUGGAGAUUUAGAUCCGUGUAUACUUGUAUAAUAUCUGCAUGUUGGAAAUGUUCAACGGUCUACGGUCAGCAGCGUAUGGCCUAACUCACUGUUAGCUGUCCUCCGAUACAAACAGUUUGACAGGCCCCAACUUGAGGGAGAUUGCUGCUUGUGGUAGCUGUUCACUUUUCUUAGCUCCUUUCAACCUCAUGUACAUGUUGAACAUCCUUACCAAGUUACCAUACAUGCAAACUGUUGACAGUACAUAUUUUUGCUUACGACAGUGCAAACAUAUUGCCGACAUAUUUUCUUCUUCUUCUUUUUUGCGAAAGAAAACCUGUAUUACUCAAUGAUAUUUUUUUGCUUCGGGUGUUCAUUUCUUGUCUAAUCUGAUGUAUAUGCUCACGCUGCGACAGCCAGAUCACCUGUAACACUGGACCCUGGAGGGGCGCUGGGGCAGCAACGCGAAGGGUAUCUGUGGGGUCGAGAUCGCUAUGGAACAGGAUCAUUGGGGCCAGUGAGUUGAGCUGGUCAGCGGCAGCUGCGUCGAAGCAGCUUGAGGAUUGGAGGUCAACAAUGGCGGCAAUGAAAAGCAGUGGCCCUGCCUUUUCGUCAAAAAAAAAAAUGGCGGCAACUCUUGGGUGGUGGGCAGAAUGCCUCGCGCAUUAUUUUUGUGGUUGGGAUGUAGGCACUGUCAUAUUCAACCCAUCUAUCUCAAUUACAAGUUGUCAUGUAAUCCAAGCUUUUUGGAAGUGAAAGAUUUGGAGGAAUAGAGGAGCUCAUCAAGGCCACAAAAGAAAGCAUGCUGUAGAUCACCAUUCAGCAGCCCAUUUAGAGGAG